AGCUUCUAGAAAUCCUGCAGAAUGACUAAUUUGUCAAUGGUACCUUUGCUGUUUUCGAACACUGCUAUAGAGAUGUUCUUAUUUUUCUCUUCUGUCAAUGCAAAUGGGGCAGAACAGGUGGCAGGCCUGGGGUCCAGUUUCUGGGGUUAGAGGCUGCCUCUGUGAGAACACCUUUCGGAAGAUGGUCCUCAGACUCCCUCAGCCUGAAGAGAGCCAAGAGCAAGGCUGGGGCAGCCAUAAUCACAGCAGUCAUCGACUACCAUGUGCCAGGACCCUGGGGACCCCACGCCAGCCCUGGGGGCCGGGGCUGAUGCCGGCGUGAAAUGGAUAAACCUCAUUAAGCCAAGACAAGAGAACUGGGUCAUGCUCUGCUGAUGCCAAGCAGGGGCUUGUGAAUGAAGCAGGCUGUUAAGUUUCAGACAUAAGAAAUAAUCUGCUCCUUGCACCCGCCUGAUCACUUUAUUAGCACA